rnacentral:rRNA from 1 species
AGGUCAGGCGGGACUACCCGCUG